ensembl:lncRNA
CAUUUUAAACUUUUCCCUUUCAAGAUGAAUGUGCCUUUAGACAUGGCCAAUUGCAAAUGCAGGAUCUAGCCAAAUGAAAACACACAUCACAGCUAGUUUUUCUCAAUUACUUCUCAAAAAUCUUUUGAAGACAAUCCAUACAGCAAUUUUUGACAUAUGAAAAAACUGGAACAAUUUUAUUUCCUGCUUGACCAACCUGAUCUCCUUCUAUGAUCUAGUGACCUGUCUGGUGGAUGAGGGAAAUGCUAGUGAUGUAGUCUACCUAGACUUCAGCAAAGCCUUUGACACUGCCUUUCACAGUAUUCUCCUGCAGAAGCUGGCAGCCCAUGGCUUGGACAGGCUUCUGAUUGCCCUGGCUCAUCACUGAGGGGGCUGAUAUGGAAGACAAAACCAGCUGACAUCCCACAAUGUCAUUCAGCAAAUCCCAUGCUCUUCUCUAGCAGCAGCCAGCGCUGAGGAGUCUUGAUGAACCUUCCUUUAGAAGAAACCGAAGGACAGGAGCUUAAAACUAACAACAUCUGAAAGCUGAUGAGAGGGCACCCCGCUGGUCUCUGCAUGAAGCGCUCUAUUCCAGACCACGCUUGUCUCUGGUUCUUGACUGCUGCCUUUUAGAGUGCCAGGACAAUAAAGCUCCACUGUACUGCAGAUUUUAUUCUAUUCUCUUUCAAGAAACGAUUUUCAAAUAGUUGUCACAGAAAGGGAAUUUAAUUGCUUUCUUUCCUAAUUAAAAAAAAAAAAAAAACAAAACUAAAAAACUCAAAACCUAUCAUCAAGAAGCUUAACCUACUUAGCUUGUCUAUGACUGAUAGCAUUAUUGGAGUGUAGGGGUUACACAGACAAGACUUUUGCAGAUAAUUUCUUAUCAGCACAUGGUGUUAAAACUAACCUGAUAAUUCUCAAAGCUUCUGAUUCCCACUGCAGUGGGAAAAGCUGAUACUUAUUAGCAUUAGUUAAAAUCACACACCUUCUUUGUUCAGUACUUUGAAAAGGUGUUUUCAAACAAUAGGGUUCUGUUUUGUCAGUAAUUUAGAAAUGGCCUGGUAGAUUUUGCCCUGUUGUCUUAAUUUAAUUUGGAAAAAGAAAAGGUUCUUGGUACAAUUUGGAAGUUUGAAGUUGUUGUACCCUACAAAACACUUUUGCAAAGACAACACUGUCUCCAUGGAGACCCUAAAAAGGUAUUUCAAAACAAGCAUCAGCUUUAUGUUUUGCUAUUUAAAGCAUGCAGUAUGACAUGAGAGAACAAAUUUCUAAGUGUGAUUUUUGUCUUUUGAUCUCUGAAGAUAAACUUCCUUGAGGUGAGCAGAUUAACAAGCACAGGACACAAAUUAAUUGCUUCUAGUCUGCACUAUAAUUUUCACUUUUUGAAUUACUUUUAAUGAAAAAACCCCUUUCCCUUAUGUAUGUUGUAAUAAAGUAACAUAAAUAAAUGUGACCUUUCUUGGAUUUUUCCCUCCAUUAGCUGCUUCUUUUCUUGUGCAAAACUUAUCCAGUACCAUGAGUGAGAAUGUGAUUAUAUAAAGAUGUACGAAGCCUACACAACACUACUCAGAAACUUAUCAAAGUUUCAGAUCUGUGAUGUGUAUGUUAUUUUCUUCUUACUCUUCAUGACUCAGAAACUCAGUUAAGUAAAAAUAUUUUACUGGAUUUGUGUCUCAGUGAAACAUUAACAUGUUUAAGAGAUUUUCACCUAACUUACAUUCAUGUUUAUGGAAAAUUUAUGGAGGGGGAGACAGAGGGAUGAGGUUUUCUGCUACCUGCCCAAGUGGAGAUCACUGCAGAAGGGACUCACAGAGACAUGCUGAUUCCAACUUCAGCUUGAGAGCAGAAGUCCCAGCUGUAUAACUAGCAUGUGUGGUUCUUGUAGCAUGGAUUGGACCCAGCUGAUGAUACUCCAUUCCAUUCACCAUGCCUUACACAAGACCAUGGACCCUGCUUGAAUCAUACUUGGUUUGAAAACCAGUAGUUGCCUACUCAGUGGAAAAUUCUAGGUACUUUGGUAACCACUCAAGAAAGUUCAGAAGGAACUGAGGAAAACAGUAAACAGAAUCAUUGAGAGCCAGUAUGAAAUGUUAGAUAUGUCAGAUGUUUCGUUUCACUAGCUGUCCAUGUUACUGAUUAAGAAGAAAAAUUGCUAAAGACUAGUCCAUCUCAUAAAACUCUUGAGUUGUGAAUGCUUUGUGUGAUGCUUUUAUGAUGUCACUUGCAAUGUAGUAUAAUAAAAUUAAAGAAAUCCAGACCCUCUUUAUUGAGAUAUACAGUGAAAUGUUUAUGUCAAAAUCCCUUUUAUGUUACAAAAUGUCUUUGUUGCGUCUUUUAAGGCUCUAAGUUAUCAUUAAACAUGUUAUGGAGGGCUACUGCCAUAAUCACUCAAAAGACAUAAAUAUAGCUGUGUCUUCUAAGAUCAAAUUCCGUUGUAAUGAAUACUGGAAAGAAAGAAAAGUGAAUUGUUAUGUUUCUUUAUAAUUCUUCCUCUAAAUCAUUAAAGAAUG